CACGGGGGUUGCGAGCGUUGUCCGGAAUUACUAGGCGUAAAGGGCAGGUAGGCGGAUCUAUAAGUUUUUUGUUUAAGGCAGCGGCUCACCCGCUGUACGGCAGGAGAUACUGUAGAUCUGGAAUGCGGUUGGGGAAGACAGAAUUCCUGGUGUAGCGGUGGAAUGCGCAGAGAUCAGGAGGAAUACCGAAGGCGAAGGCAGUCUUCCAAGCCGUUAUUGACGCUAAACUGCGAAGGUGUGGGUAUCAAACAGG
rnacentral:rRNA from 1 species